ensembl:snRNA U6 U6 spliceosomal RNA
CUUUGCUUUGGCAGAAGGUAUGCUAAAGUUAGAACAAUGCAGGGAAGAUUAAUUAUUAACAUGGCCCCAGUGCAAGUAUGAUAUGCAAAUUUAUAAUGCAUUGUAGAUUAAA